AAGUCGUAACAAGGUUUCCGUAGGUGAACCUGCGGAAGGAUCAUUAGUGAGCCGAGAGGCGUAAAUCCAAACCUCUGUGAACCGUGCCUCCGGGCUUUACAACAAACCAGUGUGAUGAACGUAAUACAAUAUAAACAAAA
rnacentral:misc_RNA from 1 species